rnacentral:misc_RNA from 1 species
CUCAUUUACAAAUUGUGUAUGAUCUGUUGCUUAGAUUCAUCACUUCUACGUGCUUAGAUGCCAAAGUUGCUAAGAAGUAUAUAGAUCAUUCAUUUAUAUUGAGAUUGCUCGACUUGUUCGAUUCUGAGGAUCNAAAGGGAUUGUCUGAAGACUAUAUUGCACAAGGUUUAUGGAAAAUUUAUGGUGCAUAGGCCGUUUAUUCGAAAGUCUAUAAGCAAUAUAUUCUAUAGAUUUGUGUUUGAGACAGAGAAGCAUAAUGGGAUUGCAGAGUUGUUGGAGAUUUUUGGGAGUAUAAUUAGUGGAUUUGCCUUGCCUUUGAAAGAGGAGCAUAAGAUUUUCUUGUGGAGGGUUUUGAUACCUCUGCAUAAGCCAAAGUCUUUAGGGAUAUACUUUCAGCAGCUGUCUUAUUGUGUCACACAGUUUAUGGAGAAGGAGCCCAAGUUGGCUAGUAUAGUGAUUAAAGGGAUAUUGAAAUACUGGCCAAUAACUAAUAGCCAGAAGGAGUUAAUGUUUCUGGGUGAGUUGGAAGAGAUUUUGGAAGCUAUUAACAUGGUGGAAUUCCAAAAGGUCAUGGUUCCAUUGUUCUGGCGAAUUGGAUGCUGCAUUAGCAGUUUCCACUUUCAGGUGGCUGAAAGAGCCCUUUUCUUGUGGAACAAUGACCAAAUUGUCAACUUGAUUGCACAUAACCGGCAUGCGAUACUGCCUAUUAUAUUUCCAGCAUUAGAGAAGAAUGCUCAUAGCCACUGGAAUCAAGCAGUGCUUAACUUAACUCUGAAUGUCAGAAAAUUGUUCUCAGAGAUGGAUGAGGCGCUGUUCCUCUCCUGCCUUGCUCAGUUUAAGGACAGUGAAGAAAAACUAAGCUUGCUGGCUGAGAAGCGGAAGGUUGCAUGGCAACAACUGGAGAAUGCAGCCAGUCUCAAGCCCAUAACAGGGAAUACUGCAGUUUUGGUAACUCCUUUCGCAACGUCAAUAAUCUGUUAAGUGACAUUGCUAACCCGAUGUUGUGUCGAGUUCUUGUUGUUAUUUUCUCAUAUGAAGGUGGUGGCACUAGCAAGGCAAAAGUGAGAAAAAGGCGGGAAAAUUGUAUGAUAGGAAAAUUGCUGCUGUUUGGGAUUGUCGCCUUGUUCUGAUUGAUACUGUGUGGAUAUUAAUUGCUUCCCUUGUAACGUUAUGGGAAGGGCCAUGCGGUGGAUUAUACAUUUCUGUUCAGCUAAUUCUCUAAUUAUCUUUCGCUU